rnacentral:lncRNA from 1 species
AAAAUUUGCUUGAGAGGUCACUUUGGUCCCUGUAGGAUCUUGUCUCCUGACACUUUCUUGUGCUGUUAUCUCUUACCGUAAAAAUUGAAAUUAUUCUAAUACUCUUAUGGGAACCAAAUUAAAAGGGAUUCAUGUCUUUUUUUUUUCCCUCUGUGCACCUCACCCUGGCUAGGGACAGCCCUGAUGAUUCAUGGACUCAUGAACUCAGGCUGUCUGUUCACUAUUCUGGUUGGUGAGAAUUGGCGAGGUAGAGAAAAAGGGAAAGUUUUGCAUUAGAGUGGUUUAAAAUUCUAUGAUUAAGUAACAGACAUGAGAGUUUAAAUAUAACAGGGCUGCUAUUUUAGGUUUGUCCUUA